GCUGGGUGGGGAGGAGAGAGGGACAGAGAGCCUGCUUGCUUUAAAGGAACCAACCGGACAGGAGCCGCUUACCCUCAUGUAAGCGGCUCCUCUCCUCUCCCGCUUUGCUCCUUUAAAGAAGCAGGCUCUCUGUCCCUCUCUCCUCCCCACUCAGC
rnacentral:miRNA from 1 species